GGAGUUCAGGACUGGGACACUCCUCUGCCUGAUGACAAGGUGAGCAGAUGGGAAGAGUGGAAAGCCUCACUUGAGAAGCUGAGUAACCUCCAUGUCCCUCGCUGUUAUGUAAAGAUGUCACUCUCAAAAGCCAAAUACACAGAACUGUGCCUUUUUUCUGAUGCCUCGAACUGGGCUAUAGGGGCAGUAGCCUACUUGAGGGCUGUCACUGAAGAGGGCCGUUGUGAGGUCGGAUUUGUGCUGGGAAAGGCUAAGCUGUCACCACAGCCUGAACCCACAAUUCCACGCCUCGAGCUCUGUGGAGCUGUUCUGGCGACUGAGAUGGCAGAGCUGAUUUUAGACGAACUGGACUUCAAGCCAGACGCUGUUAAAUUCUACUGCGACAGCAAAGUGGUCCUCGGAUACAUCUGUAAUGAUUCAAAGCGCUUCUAUGUGUACGUGCACAAUCGCGUGCAUCGUAUACGCCAGACAACGUCCCCAGAUCAGUGGCAUUACGUACCUUCAGCACAGAACCCAGCGGACUUAGCCACCAGAUCUGUAGCAGCAUCACAGCUCAUGGACACGAUGUGGUUUAAAGGGCCCGACUUCCUCUACAAGCCUCCGGAGAUGGAGAAACGUGAGCACUUCGAGCUGAUAGAUCCUGAAACAGAUGUGGAAGUUAGACCACAAGUGACUGCUCUAGCUACCCACCUUGAAACUAAGAGACUUACCUCUGAGAGAUUCCAGCGCUUUUCCACAUGGAAGUCUCUGCUGAGAGCCGUUUCCUACUUGAAACAUCAGGUGCGUUCGCACAAACCAGACACAACAGAUACACCACAGCACACAUGCAAAGGCUGGCAUCAGUGCAGUGGGCCUCGCACUCCUGAGGAGCGCGCAGCAGCGAAGAUGCUCAUACUAGAGACUGUUCAGAGAGAUGCAUAUCCAGAUGAAUACGCUGCUCUUCAGGCAAACAUAGAAGUCUCUAGCUCGAGUCAGCUCUUGACCCUUGACCCCUACAUGAGUGAUGGUCUGCUGCGGGUCGGAGGCCGUCUCAGACAUGCUUCUCUUGACACUGAGGUAAAACACCCAAUCAUCCUCCCUAAGCAUAACCAUGUAACCAAGCUGCUUGUAGAACACUAUCAUGCUGAAGUGAAACACCAGGGGCGGCAGUUCACAGAAGGGGCUAUCAGAGCAGCUGGACUGUGGAUUGUCGGUGGCAAGAGACUGGUGAGUUCUACACUUCAUCAUUGUGUGACAUGCCGUAAGCUCAGAGGGAAGCUGGAAGUACAGAAAAUGGCUGACCUCCCUCCAGAGCGGCUCGACACCCCCCACCCUUCACAUACGUAGGGCUGGACGUAUUUGGACCGUGGGCAGUGAUGACCCGACGCACUCGAGGAGGUGCAGCGCAGAGCAAAAGGUGGGCCAUUCUGUUCACGUGCAUGAACACCAGGGGGGUACACAUUGAAGUUAUAGAAUCAAUGGAUGCCACAAGCUGUAUUAAUGCAUUGCGAAGAUUCUUUGCCAUCAGAGGCCCGGCAAAGCAGCUCAGAUCAGACAGAGGGACGAACUUCAUAGCCGCCAGUGCAGAGCUGGGCAUGGACCGUCCUGAGGAAAAGCAGACUGAAAUUCUGAGUUAUCUCCAUAGUAAAGACUGCACAUGGGAGUUCAAUCCACCACACGCCUCCCACAUGGGGGGAGUGUGGGAGCGUAUGAUUGGGGUCACACGCAGAAUUCUAGACUCUAUGCUUUUGCAAAACAAGCAUACUCACCUGACGCACGAGGUACUGUGUACUUUGAUGGCGGAGAUAUCAGCAAUCAUCAACGCACGGCCGCUGAUUCCCAUUUCAUCAGACCCCUCCUCUCCCAUUCUGCUGUCCCCUGCUAUGCUCCUGACCCAAAAGCCAGGCCUACACGCUCCACCUGGAGACUUCACCAGCAAGGAUCUCCUGAAAGGUCAGUGGAAACAAGUACAAGCGCUGGCGAAUGAGUUUUGGGGCCGUUGGAGAACUGAGUACUUGAGUACUCUCCACUCAAGACGCAAGUGGCACAGAGCUCAGCGCAACCUACAACCUGGAGACAUUGUGCUGCUGAAACAGGCUCAAGCACCAAGGAACGAGUGGCCAAUGGCUUUGGUCACAUCGGCCUCUCCGAGCAGCGAUGGACGAGUCCGCAAAGUCGAGGUGCAGACGGCAUCUCAGGGCACUUCAAAGACUUACCUGCGGCCCAUCUCGGACGUCAUCCUUCUUCUUGAAAGAGACUAAAAAGGCACAAACUGAAAAAAAGGGGUUUAAAGUAAAUGUGUGUUGAAUAAAGAAAAGUUGAGUUGAGUAGUGGCAUUAGUUAUGCCAGACGGGGAGUGUUCUGUCCUCAGGUUAAAAGUAAAAGAAAAGGAAAUAUGUAUUCAAAUUGUUUUUGGUACAAAUGAUUCUUUGAUAACAUUCUGUUAAUGGCAAAAGAAAAGAGAUGAGUAUUUUGUACUGUAAAGGUGAGCCUUUAUUUUGGCAUGAGUUUUUGUUUACAUCUGAGCGAUCCCAUGAGCCUCCGGUCCAUGAUGAACUUACCAGAACGUAAGAUGCACGUUAGUUGCUGUUUGUAAUGAGUUCCAGUCGGAUGUUUCUUUCCCGAGUCUUGUUUCGCUCACACACCCAUGGCAGCAAUGUCUGUAAGUUAUAAUGAUAUGCAUUUUGUACUUGUAUGAAGUUAAGCUUUAUGAGCAUAGUUGGUAACGUUUACUCGAAUGUGUAUUAGUGACCACGUUACUUUGCUAACGUUCGUUUCCUUGCUAAUAAGCUAAGCGAUACUUGCUAGUCACUUUAGUUAUAGGCUAACUUGACUGUUGCUUGUGUAAUACGGUAAUGUCAGGCUCCUAAGUUUCGUCUGUAUUUUGUUUAUUUCAGUUUUACACGAUUUUCACCUGCUAUACUGGAAAAUAAAGGAGCAAGGCGCUCGCUUCCUGGCUCGUAGAAAACGAGUUUGGCUUGCUGUGGAGUCUGUGUUCACGCACGUAGCUUACACACAGAUAGGAACAGUACAG